rnacentral:rRNA from 1 species
AUGAACGCUGGCGGCGUGCCUCAUACAUGCAAGUCGAGCGAACAGACGAGGAGCUUGCUCCUCUGACGUUAGCGGCGGACGGGUGAGUAACACGUGGAUAACCUACCUAUAAGACUGGGAUAACUUCGGGAAACCGGAGCUAAUACCGGAUAAUAUAUUGAACCGCAUGGUUCAAUAGUGAAAGACGGUUUUGCUGUCACUUAUAGAUGGAUCCGCGCCGCAUUAGCUAGUUGGUAAGGUAACGGCUUACCAAGGCGACGAUGCGUAGCCGACCUGAGAGGGUGAUCGGCCACACUGGAACUGAGACACGGUCCAGACUCCUACGGGAGGCAGCAGUAGGGAAUCUUCCGCAAUGGGCGAAAGCCUGACGGGGCAACGCCGCGUGAGUGAUGAAGGUCUUCGGAUCGUAAAACUCUGUUAUUAGGGAAGAACAAAUGUGUAAGUAACUAUGCACGUCUUGACGGUACCUAAUCAGAAAGCCACGGCUAACUACGUG